rnacentral:misc_RNA from 1 species
UCCGUGAUUUGGUGAAAACCGUUCCUUUGCCAGGUGAUGACCAACAUUAAGCUGCAAUCACAUAUGGAACGGUAUUGAUAUGAUCAAGAGGCAGCAACAAUGUCACACGGUAAUAAUAGAAAUGUAAAUAAAUUCUUGCUGCUGUGUCUGGCAUGUAUAAAGCUUUUUUACCUGAAAAUUAUGUAUGAAACUUUUCUUAUGCAAAGCCGUGUCUCAAGGGGCUGUUGCGAAUAACUUGAGCUUUCUUAUUCCAGUUCGAGAAUAAUUUGGGGAUAAUCCUGUAUUAUGCUGACAAGCUUCUCUUGCGUUUUUUUGUUUUCUUCUUUUUUUUAAGAGACUUUUUUUUU